rnacentral:rRNA from 1 species
CCUGGCGGCAAUAGAGCGCUGGUACCACCCGACCCCAUCCCGAACUCGGAAGUGAAACGGCGUAUCGCCGAUGGUAGUGCGGGGCCUCCCCGUGUGAGAGUAGGACACUGUCAGGC